rnacentral:rRNA from 1 species
AGGACGAACGCUGGCGGCGUGCCUAACACAUGCAAGUCGAACGGAACUCAACUAGUGGCAACACUAGGGAAAGUUUAGUGGCGAACGGGUGAGUAACACGUGAGCAACCUGCCCCGAAGACUGGGAUAAUACCGGGAAACUGGUACUAAUACCGGAUGCCUUCACUAGAUCGCAUGAUUUGGUGAAGAAAUUGUUUUUCGUCUUGGGUAGUGGGCUCGCGGCCUAUCAGUUUGUUGGUAAGGUAAUGGCUUACCAAGACUAUGACGGGUAGCUGGUCUGAGAGGACGAGCAGCCACACUGGGACUGAGACACGGCCCAGACUCCUACGGGAGGCAGC